AGGACCAAAGCACCAAAUCUUCUUAGCAAGAUCUUUGUCCCAACCAAACUCCUCUGACAAGAUUUUAGACCUAACUUUAGGGUCAUCCCGUGGUCCGAUGCGGCCAUCGUCAAUAGCUUCUGCCAGUCCUUCCUCCAUCGGUCGUGCUUCCAUGUAUAGACGAUUGUGUUUGUUGGGGGAUUUACUCAUCACCGUGCGGCAUGACCUCUCAAGGACAGUUUCACGGAAAGAGACAACAGGGUCAGAUUUUAUGAUCUCAGCUCCACCCAUGAAGUCAUCUUGCAAAUCCUUCAGACAGAUCUCA
rnacentral:misc_RNA from 1 species